GCGGCGAAAUUUAAAUAAGUAUUUCUAAUAAAUGUGGACGAAUUUAACUAAAUUUUGGCACAAGAAUGAGUUUAAAAAACAUUGUAUGGCAAAAAGAGCCUGUGGAAAAUACCUGGAAACAGUUUUAAGAAAUAAUCUCGGCGGGAUGCAGCGAAACGUGACUAUGUCUAUGUAAGUUUGUAAUACAAUUUAUAAAGAUUUUCUUAGUCUAAAAUAUGUUGUUCGAGUUUGAAUCUUGUGUUCUCGUUUAAGUUAUGUGCCUUUAUGAGUUUAUAAUCAUUUCCCAAGUUUGUUUAUACCAAAUUGCUUACAAAAGAAUUAAAAGUCGUGACAAAAUGCAGUUGAAUUUUAAAGAAAGCGAUUUUGUCAUGCAUAUAAUAAAUAAAUAAUCACACGGGCAAGUCGUGCAAUUAAUGAUUAACACUACUCGUGAUAUUUGAAAAAUGCCACUCGUAGUGUUAAUCAUUAAUUGCACUCCUUCCCAUGUGAUUACUACCUAUACUAAUUAUAGUCUUAGUUUUUAGCUUUGGAACUACGUAUAUAUGACCAGUGGUACCUAAAUUACUUUGAAUUUGAACUCGAGUAAAAGUAGAAGUAAUUAACAAAAAAACGACUUGAGUAAGAGGAAAAAGUACUGGAGGCAAAACGUACUUAAGUAAAAAGUACAAAGCAUCCUUAAAAAUACUUGAAGUACAAAGUGAAAGUACUAUUGUCCGUAGCGUGUGUGUGUGUGUGUGUGUGUGUGUGUGUGUGUGUGUGGGGGGGGGGGGCUUCUCCAUUGAUGGAUUGAGAUACAAAAAAAACACAAAACAGCACACGCAUUAUAAAAAUACAAUAUUUCACGGCAUGGUCUACUUUCCAGAUCCCGUUGAAGAUAUAAGAAAUCCAUAAAAUAAAUAAUGCUUAUAAGUAAGCCACAAACGAAAGAUCCCAGAUGCAUGUAGAAGUCCUAUUACCUAUCCCAAAA